AAACCAACAGGGAUUGCCUCAGUAACGGCGAGUGAAGCGGCAAAAGCUCAAAUUUGAAAUCCUCAGGGAAUUGUAUUUUGAAGGUUGACAGAGAUUGAAGGAUUCUUCUUAAGUUCAUUGGAAAAUGACGCCAUAGAGGGUGAUAGCCCCGUGAAGAAACCAAAUCCAUCUAUUUCUCUGUUCUCCAAAGAGUCGAGUUGUUUGGGAAUGCAGCUCUAAGUGGGUGGUAAAUUCCAUCUAAAGCUAAAUAUUGGCGAGAGACCGAUAGCGAACAAGUACAGUGAUGGAAAGAUGAAAAGCACUUUGAAAAGAGAGUGAAAAAGUACGUGAAAUUGUUGAAAGGGAAGGGCUUGCAAGCAGACACAACCUCGUGUUGGGCCAGCAUCGGGGCGAGGGGAAGUAAAACAGUCAAGAAAUAUAACUCCCUUCGGGGAGCAUUACAGUCUUUGUCCUACCACUUCCAUCUCAUCCCGAGGCCUGCGAAUUCUUCAAGGAUGCUGGCGUAAUGGUUGCAAGUCGCCCGUCUUGA
rnacentral:rRNA from 1 species